CCGAACCCUGAGAAGGAUGAGUGCUGAGGAAUGCGGCUCCAUCAGGCCCAGACGUCCGGGUCACAGGUGGAGGACGACCACGGGGCCCCUGAUGCAGGUUUGCACCAGAGCAGCCACCCAGAGACCACCCCAGGUGGGGAGCUGCCAACACAGCCCUGGCGAGAUGGCUGCCGCCUGCCUACGAAGACGGCAUCAGUGAGCCCAGAGGGUGGAACCCCCACUUCCUGUACAACGGCUUCCCACUGCCCCCGGUAUCCAUCCCACAGGACAUGCUGGUCUCUCUCACCAGGUCCGGGAGGUGACUAGACAAGUCAUCCAGGUCCCCAACGAGGCCGUCACAGAGGAUGACCAAUAUUCUGACCUCCUGAUGGUGUGGGGGCAGUAUAUUGAUCACGACAUCGCGUUCACACCUCAGAGUACUAGCAAAGCUGCAUUUGGGGGAGGAGCUGAUUGCCAGCUGACCUGUGAAAACCAAAACCCAUGUUUUCCCAUACAGGUAGAAUCUUAAAUUUUUUAUUGUUUAUUAUGAAAGUAACAGAUGUCA
rnacentral:lncRNA from 1 species